rnacentral:rRNA from 1 species
GACAGAGGGUGCAAACGUUGUUCGGAAUUACUGGGCGUAAAGCGCGUGUAGGCGGCUAAGAAAGUCGGGCGUGAAAUCCCACCGCUCAACGGUGGAAGUGCACCCGAAACUGCAUAGCUAGAGUCCUGGAGAGGAAGGUGGAAUGCUUGGUGUAGAGGUGAAAUUCGUAGAUAUCAAGCGGAACACCGGUGGCGAAGGCGGCCUUCUGGACAGUGACUGACGCUGAGACGCGAAAGCGUGGGGAGCAAACAGG